rnacentral:misc_RNA from 1 species
UGUCCGUAGGUGAACCUGCGGAAGGAUCAUUACUGAGUGAGGGCCCUCUGGGUCCAACCUCACACCCGUGUUUAUUGAUCCUUGUUGCUUCGGUGAGCCCGCCUCACGGCCGCCGGGGGGCAUCUGCCCCAGGGCCCGCGAUCUCCGCAGACCCCCUUGAACACUGUCUAAAGUUUGCAGUCAGAGCUAAAACUAACUAAGUUAAAACUUUCAACAACGGAUCUCUUGGUUCCG